UACGGAGGGUGCAAGCGUUAUCCGGAUUCACUGGGUUUAAAGGGAGCGUAGGUGGGUUGGUAAGUCAGUGGUGAAAUCUCCGGGCUUAACUCGGAAACUGCCGUUGAUACUAUCAUUCUUGAAUAUUGUGGAGGUAAGCGGAAUAUGUCAUGUAGCGGUGAAAUGCUUAGAUAUGACAUAGAACACCAAUAGCGAAGGCAGCUUGCUACACAAUUAUUGACACUGAGGCUCGAAAGCGUGGGGAUCAAACAGG
rnacentral:rRNA from 1 species